rnacentral:misc_RNA from 1 species
ACCAAGCGCAAUCUGAGCUACUUUGCUUGCGAUUCUCGUGAUUUGGAGUUGGUUAUCUCGGAUCGAACGAUUUUCCUGACAAUCUUUACCAAAUCCAUUUGGUGUUCCUUGGUUAUUCCGUCAGACAAGGAAGCAGAGUUUGAAGUUGUUCAGGUUGGUUGCUGGUUGUGGUUUGGAUCUCCUCCGUUUUCCCCUGUUUUUUUGUCCGGCGAUCUGCAUCAUAUUCGUCAAGUCUACAUUUCAGUCUUUUCCCCUUCUACAAGGAAGUUAUCCUCUUCCUUGCUUGAUUGGUCUUUCUUGUUC